rnacentral:lncRNA from 1 species
UUUUAUGUAUCAGAUGGGAUCUGUUUUGUUUUUGUUUUUGUUUUCCUGUUUCUCCUAAGGAAACAGAAAAGGCGUGGGUUUUUGUUUGUUUGUUUGUUUGUUUGUUUUUGCCAUUUUUUUUUCUAUUGGUGCCGGCUGUAUUUGUGUUUAAGCAAAGGAACACAGAACAGACCCAAACUCCACUUUAUCAGACUGAUUGUGGGCUGAAUUGUGUGAUGUCAGACAUUGCCGUUGGGGACAGGGCGGUCAGAGUGAUCUUAAAUUCAGGGUGUUAAAAGCUGCAGAAGCAGGGACUGUGUUAUGAAUGAAAUGUCACCUGCUCUGCUAUAAAAGAAACCAUUCUUCUUCUUCUUUUUUUUUUAGAAGCCAGGUAUGAUGGCUUACACCUGAAAUCCCAGCACUUGAGUGGUUGGGACAGGGGGAUUGACAUGAGUUGGAGGCCAGUCUGGGCUGAUUUGAAGGAACUACACAUAAGGGCUCAUCUUUUACAAAACAUUCUGAGACAGCAUCUCACUGUUUUAUCACAGGCUGUUCUUGAACUGGGCAUCGUCCUGACUCUGCCUCCCAAGGGCUGGAUUAAAGGUGUAUACCACACCUGACUUUUCUGUUUUUGGGGUUUCUUUUCACCGUGUUGCCUAGACUGGCCUUCAACUCCUGGGCUCAAGCAGUCCUGCUUCAGCCUCCAGGAGCCUGGGACCUGCAGGAACACACCACUGAUCUCAUCCAGAAUAGCCUCUCAAGUUCUGUUCAGUUACUUAGCAAGUAUCUAUCCGCACCUCUUAGAUGUUAAGUACUUGAAACUCACGGAACGUGGGGUCACGUGGGGUCACAUUCUUUACCCUAAGACUGCAGGUUCUUGAGAAGUCAAAACAGUCAAAUCAAUAGUUAAAAC